AUGGCGCCCCGCUGGUGGCUGCUGAUUCUCUUCCUCGGCUGCAGCGUACUCCAAGCUAGCUCCCAGCCUAACAGCAGAGGUUUCAUCAGCAUAGACUGCGGGCUAAUGGGAGAGGAGAGCUAUGUCGACGACGAGACGAACCUGUUAUACGUCUCGGACGCUGGCUUCACCGACACCGGCACGCCUUACAACAUCUCGGCUGAGUACUUUCGGCCAUGGCGCUCCAGGAACGUCAGGAGCCUGCGGAGUUUCCCCGAUGGUGCACGCAACUGCUACACGCUACGAUCCCUAGUGUCCGGCCUCAAGUACCUCUUCCGCGCCACGUUUCUCUAUGGCAACUACGAUGGCCUUAACAAGCCACCAGCAUCGUUCGACCUCUACAUCGGCGUCAACUUCUGGACGGUGGUGAACAUGUCUUGGUGGGGGUCGGACCAGGACAACAAGGCGGAGGUGGAGGCCAUCGUAGUCGUGCCACACGACUUGGUGCAGGUGUGCCUGGUCAACACCGGCGGCGGGACGCCCUUCAUCUCCGGGCUGGAGCUGAGGCCGCUGAAGAUGUCGCUCUACCCACAGGCAACGGCGGAGCUGGGGCUGUUCAUGCGGAGCAGGCGAAACUUCGCCGCGAUAAACGAAACAAUCAUCAGGUUCCCCGAUGAUCCAUACGACCGGCUAUGGUACCCUAGGUCCGACGCCACGAUGUGGACAGAGAGGUCGACGACCGAGAGGGUGGACGGCUUCGACAGCGGCAGCUUCGAGGCACCCAUGGCGGUGCUUCAGACGGCGAUAACGCCGCUGAACGCCUCCGGGAGCAUCAAUUUCGGCUGGGACACGGAGCCCCAACCAAACAACCCAUCGCCGGGGUAUCUUGCCGUCUUCUACUUCGCCGAGCUACAGGUGCUGGAUGGGAACGCCUCUCGCCAGUUCUACAUCAAUCUCAACGACGAGCUCUGGCACAACAGGGCGGUGAAGCCCGAAUACCUCUCCAGAAUCAACUUAUACAAUGAAUUCCCCAGCCCGCGCCAGAACCACUACGAUAUAUCCAUCAAGGCCACAGCCAAUUCCACGCUGCCGCCCAUCAUCAACGCCUACGAGGUGUUCUCUGUCAUCACCACCACCAACGUUGGUACAGAAUCCCAGGAUGCAUCUGCGGCCAUGGCGAUCAAGGCCAAGUACAAGGUGCACAAGAACUGGAUGGGUGAUCCAUGCUUUCCCAAGACUAUGACGUGGGAUAGUCUGAACUGCAGCUAUGCCACUGCCAGCCCUCCAAGGAUCACAAGCAUAAAUCUGUCAUCCAGUGGCUUGAAUGGUGAUAUAUCGUCUUCGUUUGCAAAUCUCAAGGCUCUCGAAUACUUGAAUUUGUCAAACAACAACUUGACAGGCUCAAUUCCAGAUUCCCUUUCACAAUUACAGUCCUUGACAGAUAUAGAUUUGUCUAACAACCAGCUCAAUGGAUCUAUCCCCUCUGGACUUCUCAAAAGAAUUCAAGAUGGCUCCCUGAAUAUAAGACAUGGCAACAAUCCAAACCUUUGUAUCGGCGACAAUUCAUGUCAGCUUGCUGCUAAAAGGAAGAGCAAACUGGCCAUCUACAUUGUUGUCCCCUUACUUGUCAUUGUGGUGAUAGUAUCUGUGGCAGCCCUAGUCUUGUUCUCACUAAGACGACGAAAGCAGCAGCAAGGAUCAAUGAACAAUAUGGCCACAAUAAAGCCGCAGAAUGAGGAGGAAAUGCCAACGAGCCAUGGCGGUGCUAAUGAUUCGCUGCGACUAGUCGAGAACCGCCGGUUCACUUACAAGGAACUCGAGGUGAUAACCAAUGGCUUUGAGCGGGUGCUUGGCAAAGGAGGGUUCGGCCGCGUCUAUGAUGGCUUCCUGGAGGAUGGUACUCAAGUGGCGGUGAAGUUACGGUCUCAUUCCUCCAAUCAAGGCAUCAAGGAGUUCCUCACAGAGGCUCAGAUUCUAACCCGGAUUCAUCACAAGAAUCUUGUGAAUAUGAUUGGUUACUGCAAGGAUGGGGAAUAUACGGCUCUUGUGUGUGAGCACAUGUCACAAGGAACCCUGCAAGAACACAUUGCUGGAAGCAAUCAAAGUUUACCUUGGAGGCAGAGGCUUCGAAUCGCACUUGAAUCUGCACACGGGUUGGAGUAUCUGCACAAGGGGUGCAACCCGCCUAUUAUCCAUAGGGAUGUCAAGGCCACCAACAUCUUGUUGAAUGCUAGAAUGGAGGCCAAGGUCGCAGAUUUCGGCAUGUCCAAGGCCUUCGAUCACCACAAUGGAAAUUACAUUUCAACAAAUACAAUUGUUGGUACACCCGGAUAUGUUGAUCCAGAAUACCAGGCGACAGUGAAACCCAGGACCAAGAGCGAUGUAUACAGUUUUGGUGUGGUAUUGCUAGAGCUGGUCACUGGAAAGCCGGCCAUCCUCUCAGAUCCGGAGCCCAUGAACAUUAUCCAUUGGGUCCAACAGCGUCUAGCGAGAGGCAACAUAAAGGGUGUGGUGGACGCACGAAUGCAUGGCAGUUACAAUGUCAAUGGCGUUUGGAAGGUGGCCGAGAUUGCACUCAAAUGCACUGCCCAGACAUCAACGCAGCGGCCCACCAUGGCCGACGUUGUUGCGCAACUACAGGAGUGUGUGGAGCUCGAGGAGCGCACCCAUGACUUUGACAAUGGUGGCAGCAAGAAUGGUUACUCGAGCUGGAAUUAUAAUGCUUAUGCCAGUGGGCAAUCCACUGAUGUGAGCAAGAAGGCUGGAUUUGGGACGGAACUGAGGAUGCCAACGGUGGGUCUCGGUCUAGCUCCUACUACACGUUGA
rnacentral:rRNA from 1 species